rnacentral:lncRNA from 1 species
AGAAUACUCGCUCUUUUAGUUUGUUGAUGUUGCUCAAAUGUGUGGAACUUUAUAUCAAGCUUGUUUUUUUUAUAUAUUUAUUAUUUUGUUCACAAAUGAUCCUUUUAGCUACUUCGAACUCUGUAGAAUACACUGCUUUAAUAUUAUGCAAUUUACUAUGGAAAUUGAAUCUUUAUUUUAUGUUCUAGCUAGUAGCUUUCUGGUAUUAAUGUGCUACUGUCUCAUGUUAAAAAGAAAUGGAAUUCAUCCUUUAAAUGUUUGGAGUUUAUUAUUAUUAUUAAAUCGCAUGUUUAGGAUUUUGCAAAGAAUGAUGCUAAGUUCUAGCAGGUGUCUUUGAUGUAGCACUUAUGCUUCUCCUUAAGGAAAUUUACUUUGACUACCUUAUUUAAUUGAAUAAUAAUUCUCAAGACCACUGUGUUUGUUUUUGAAUAAAUGCAUGCCCGUAUUAUCUUUCUCAAGGUAGACAUUUUAUGUCAUAUAACUAGAGUGGGAAUUGUUUCGAUCUUAUCUGCUCAAACUGCUCGAGAAUUGUGAUUUAAAUUCAUUUU